rnacentral:miRNA from 12 species
UGUGUAGAGGCAUGAAACAUGCU